rnacentral:rRNA from 1 species
UUUGAGAGUUCAGAUGAGAUAGUAACAAAUCUGGCUAGGUAUAUCUCGCAAGUUUCAGAAAUCUCUGCUAAAUAAAGUGGAUUCUUCACCAGUGCCCUAUCUGGAGGGCCCCUUGUCAUUUUUUAAAGGAAACUUUGUGAAGCAUCGUACAACAAUACCCUGGAUUGGUUUAAAUGGUAUAUAUUUUGGUCUGAUGAAUGUGCUAUAGCAAAGAACCAUGCAAGCAGUAACUAUAAGUUAACAAAAGAAGGAUUUCUAUCAAAGCUAUGUGGACUUUAG